GACGAACGCUGGCGGCGUGCUUAACACAUGCAAGUCGAACGGUGAAGCGCCUUCCUUUUUGGUGGGUGUGGAUGAGUGGCGAACGGGUGAGUAACACGUGAGUAACCUGCCCCCUUCUUCUGGAUAACCGCAUGAAAGUGUGGCUAAUACGGGAUAUUCUGGGUCUGUCGCAUGAUGGGUCUGGGAAAGAUAUUGUUUCGGUGGGGGAUGGGCUCGCGGCCUAUCAGCUUGUUGGUGGGGUGAUGGCCUACCAAGGCGGUGACGGGUAGCCGGCCUGAGAGGGUGGACGGUCACACUGGGACUGAGACACGGCGCAGACUCCUACGGGAGGCAGCAGUGGGGAAUAUUGCACAGUGGGCGCAAGCCUGAUGCAGCGACGCCGCGUGAGGGAUGGAGGCCUUCGGGUUGUGAACCUCUUUCGCCAGUGAAGCAGGCCUGCCUCGUUUGUGGGUGGGUUGACGGUAGCUGGAUAAGAAGCGCCGGCUAACUACGUG
rnacentral:rRNA from 1 species